UUAGAUACCCUAUUAUAUUAGUAAUAACUUUAAUUAUUAAUAGAUAUAAGCUUUAAAUUUGAAGAAUUUGGCGGUGAUUUAAUCUUAUUAGAGGAACCUGUUUUUAAAUCGAUACACCACGUAAAAUUUUACUUAUUUUAAUUAGUUUAUAUACCGUCAUUAUCAGAUGAUUUUUGAAAAAUAUAAUCAUUAAAAUUUAUUAAUUAGUAAAUAAAAUUAGAUCAAGGUGUAGCUUAUAAAUAAGUUAAAAUGGGUUACAAUAAAAUAUAUUUAUUAUGGAUUAGUCACAGGAAAAGUACUAUAAAGGAGGAUUUAAUUGUAAUAUAAGUUUAAUAAGCUUAAAAGAUAUUGGCUCUAAAUCAUGUACAUAUCGCCCG
rnacentral:rRNA from 1 species